rnacentral:snRNA from 1 species
AUACUUACCUGGCAGGGGAGAUACCAUGAUCACAAAGGUGGUUUUCCCAGGGUGAGGCUUAUCCAUUGCACUCCGGAUGUGCUGACCUCGACUGCAUAAUUUGUGGUAGUGGGGGGCUGCAUUCGCGCUUU